ensembl:lncRNA
CUGGCUACCAGCUCCCCGCUGCCCUGCGCAUGGCGGGCUAGCAUCAGGCCCGGGGAAAGCCUAGCAGUUCGGUGUGGCACUGUUUGUGGUGAGGCGAGGGAAGGAGAGGAGAAAACUGCACAGGAUCUAUGGAGGUCUUCUCAUAGGCUUGCAGUAGGCCUAUUUACCACUAGAAACAAGAGAAAGAGAAAGAGACUGGCCCAUAACUAUGGAGGUUAGUGUGAAUGUGGGCAGUGCAUGGGGAUGACAAGAGAGG